GGAUCCAGACUUUGAUUAUGGCUCAGGACGAACGCUGGCGGCGCGCCUAACACAUGCAAGUCGAGCGGGAAGCUUUUUAAGGAUUCUUCGGAUGAAUUAAAAAGUGGAGAGCGGCGGACGGGUGAGUAACGCGUGAGAAACCCGCCCUAUACAGGGGGAUAGCCAUUGGAAACGAUGAUUAAUACCCCAUAUGACCACAGUAUCGCAUGAUACAGCGGUGAAAACUCCGGUGGUAUAGGAUGGUCUCGCGUCUGAUUAGCUAGUUGGUGGGGUAACGGCCUACCAAGGCGACGAUCAGUAGCCGGCCUGAGAGGGUGACCGGCCACACUGGAACUGAGACACGGUCCAGACUCCUACGGGAGGCAGCAGUGGGGAAUAUUGCACAAUGGGCGAAAGCCUGAUGCAGCGACGCCGCGUGAACGAUGAAGGCUUUCGAGUCGUAAAGUUCUGUUCUUGGGGAAGAUAACGACGGUACCCAAGGAGAAAGCACCGGCUAAAUACGUGCCAGCAGCCGCGGUAAU
rnacentral:rRNA from 1 species